rnacentral:rRNA from 1 species
AUGUCCGCCUUGAGGCCACCAUGGGCGGACCUGCCGCCGGAACUGCUUCUCGACAUCUCCGGCCGCCUACAUGAACUCGCCGACUUCGUUCGCUUCCAUACCGUCUGCACGUCGUGGCGUGGUGCAGGACUACUGCACUCUCCACGAACGCGGCCCAUGUUCCGGCCGUGGCUCCUCAUGCCAUGUGACGGCAUUAUUGUACACUCUGCCGUCAACUUUGAGGGCGUGUCGACCUCGGGCCUACGCCGUGACUGUGAUGACAUGGUCCUCGCGGAGCCGCCUGGUGCAUCAUCAGCUGAUGAUAGAAAGUGGGUGGGUAGCAGAGAUGGCACGGCCGCAUGGAUCUUCACAUGGAGUACCCAGCCAAAACUCGUAAAUCUUCUCACAGGGGACAUCACCCUGAUGUCUCAGCUUCCAGAGAAUGCUGAUGAUAAGACGAAACAGCUUUGGAAGGAUCCCCGUGGUAAUCCUCGUGGUAUCGUCUAUGGUGAUGGCACCGUUUUCCUAUACACCUGUAUUCGACAAGAGCACACGAUGAUCCUAACGGCGGCCACCAUGCCUCCUGGUGAUGCAGCAUGGAGCAUCACGCUGAAGGAGCUAGAUGUGCCAAGAAGUAGGCUUUUGAACGUAGCGUAUCACAAUAGCAAGAUCUAUGUGCGCGCAUGCGACAAGUUAGUGCCAAAGUUGAAUGCAAUCAAUGAAAGAGACUACAUCUGUGGUGGCACGUACCUUUUGGAAUCCCGUGGCGAGCUUAUAUCGGCAUUCGUUCUACACGAGCAAGGUUGGCAGGUCAAUGAUGAUCUCUCGUCAGGCACACUCUUGGUGGAAUUGGAGGCGCUGGAAGAAGCGAAUGGGGACGACAAGAUGCGGUGGGUCGAGAGAGAAGGACGGAGCUUGAGCGACCGUGUUCUAUUCCUUGGUUCCCCGGCUAGCUUCUCCGUGGACGCCACAGAGCUAGGCAUGGACGGUGGGUGUGCCUACUUCGUCCUUGAGGCAUGCGUGUUUAGGUACAACUUCAUCAACCGCGAGGCAAAACUCCUCGAGUGGUUGCGCCACGGAUCGGGCGCUGACGGGGUAAAUUUGUGGCUCCGGCCCCAGCCUACCAUUGCUCCCAUUCAAGAAAUUAGAGAAAGGCUGCAAGAUUCAAACAAAGGGAGGAAGGGAUAG